UACGUAGGGGGCAAGCGUUGUCCGGAAUCAUUGGGCGUAAAGAGCGUGUAGGCGGCCCGGUAAGUCCGCUGUGAAAGUCCAGGGCUCAACCCUGGGAUGCCGGUGGAUACUGUCGGGCUAGAGUGCGGAAGAGGCGAGUGGAAUUCCUGGUGUAGCGGUGAAAUGCGCAGAUAUCAGGAGGAACACCUAUUGCGAAGGCAGCUCGCUGGGACGUAACUGACGCUGAGACGCGAAAGCGUGGGGAGCAAACAGG
rnacentral:rRNA from 1 species